rnacentral:rRNA from 1 species
AGAGUUUGAUCCUGGCUCAGGAUGAACGCUAGCUACAGGCUUAACACAUGCAAGUCGAGGGGCAGCAUGGUCUUAGCUUGCUAAGGCCGAUGGCGACCGGCGCACGGGUGAGUAACACGUAUCCAACCUGCCGUCUACUCUUGGACAGCCUUCUGAAAGGAAGAUUAAUACAAGAUGGCAUCAUGAGUCCGCAUGUUCACAUGAUUAAAGGUAUUCCGGUAGACGAUGGGGAUGCGUUCCAUUAGAUAGUAGGCGGGGUAACGGCCCACCUAGUCUUCGAUGGAUAGGGGUUCUGAGAGGAAGGUCCCCCACAUUGGAACUGAGACACGGUCCAAACUCCUACGGGAGGCAGCAGUGAGGAAUAUUGGUCAAUGGGCGAGAGCCUGAACCAGCCAAGUAGCGUGAAGGAUGACUGCCCUAUGGGUUGUAAACUUCUUUUAUAAAGGAAUAAAGUCGGGUAUGCAUACCCGUUUGCAUGUACUUUAUGAAUAAGGAUCGGCUAACUCCGUGCCAGCAGCCGCGGUAAUACGGAGGAUCCGAGCGUUAUCCGGAUUUAUUGGGUUUAAAGGGAGCGUAGAUGGAUGUUUAAGUCAGUUGUGAAAGUUUGCGGCUCAACCGUAAAAUUGCAGUUGAUACUGGAUAUCUUGAGUGCAGUUGAGGCAGGCGGAAUUCGUGGUGUAGCGGUGAAAUGCUUAGAUAUCACGAAGAACUCCGAUUGCGAAGGCAGCCUGCUAAGCUGCAACUGACAUUGAGGCUCGAAAGUGUGGGUAUCAAACAGGAUUAGAUACCCUGGUAGUCCACACGGUAAACGAUGAAUACUCGCUGUUUGCGAUAUACAGCAAGCGGCCAAGCGAAAGCGUUAAGUAUUCCACCUGGGGAGUACGCCGGCAACGGUGAAACUCAAAGGAAUUGACGGGGGCCCGCACAAGCGGAGGAACAUGUGGUUUAAUUCGAUGAUACGCGAGGAACCUUACCCGGGCUUAAAUUGCAGAUGAAUUACGGUGAAAGCCGUAAGCCGCAAGGCAUCUGUGAAGGUGCUGCAUGGUUGUCGUCAGCUCGUGCCGUGAGGUGUCGGCUUAAGUGCCAUAACGAGCGCAACCCUUGUUGUCAGUUACUAACAUGUCAUGCUGAGGACUCUGACAAGACUGCCAUCGUAAGAUGUGAGGAAGGUGGGGAUGACGUCAAAUCAGCACGGCCCUUACGUCCGGGGCUACACACGUGUUACAAUGGGGGGUACAGAGGGCCGCUACCACGCGAGUGGAUGCCAAUCCCCAAAACCUCUCUCAGUUCGGACUGGAGUCUGCAACCCGACUCCACGAAGCUGGAUUCGCUAGUAAUCGCGCAUCAGCCACGGCGCGGUGAAUACGUUCCCGGGCCUUGUACACACCGCCCGUCAAGCCAUGGGAGCCGGGGGUACCUGAAGUGCGUAACCGCGAGGAGCGCCCUAGGGUAAAACUGGUGACUGGGGCUAAGUCGUAACAAGGUA